rnacentral:rRNA from 1 species
AUUGAACGCUGGCUGCAGGCCUAACACAUGCAAGUCGAACGAGUGGCGGACGGGUGAGUAAUUUCUGGGAAACUGCCUGAUGGAGGGGGAUAACUACUGGAAACGGUAGCUAAUACCGCAUACCAUCGGAUGUGCCCAGAGGGGAUUAGCUAGUAGGUGGGGUAAAGGCUCACCUAGGCGACGAUCCCUAGCUGGUCUGAGAGGAUGACCAGCCACACUGGGACUGAGACACGGUCCAGAAUCCGACGGGAGGCAGCAGUGGGGAUGAUAGCACAAUGGGCGCAAGCCGGAUUCAGCCAUGGCGCGUGUAUGAAGAAGGCCUUCGGGUUGUAAAGUACUUUCAGCGGGGAGGCGGUAGCCGCAGAAGAAGCACUGGCUAACUCCGGGCCAGAAGCCGCGGUAAUGC